AAUAGAUACCCGGGUAGUCCACGCCGUAAACGAUGGAUGCUAGCUGUUAUGCGUAUCGACCCGUGUAGUAGCGAAGCUAACGCGUUAAGCAUCCCGCCUGGGGAGUACGAACGCAAGUUUAAAACUCAAAGGAAUUGACGGGGACCCGCACAAGCGGUGGAGCGUGUUCUUUAAUUCGAGGCUAAGCGAAGAACCUUACCAGGGCUUGACAUCCUUGGAAUUUCUCCGAAAGGAGAGAGUACUUUAUUGGACCAAGUGACAGGUGCUGCAUGGCCGUCGUCAGCUCGUGUCGUGAGAUGUUUGGUUAAGUCCAUUAACGAGCGCAACCCUUAUGAAUAGUUGUAUUUUUCUAUUCAGACUGCCCGGUAACGGGGAGAAGGGGGGAUGAUGUCAGGUCAGUAUUGCCCUUACGCCCUGGGCUGAAACGCGCUACAAUGGCCGGUACAAUACGCUGCAACCCGCGAGGGGAGCAAAUCGCAUCAAAGCCGGUCCCAGUUCGGAUAAGAGGCUGAAACUCGCCUCUUUGAAGCCGGAAUCGCUAGUAAUCGUAGGUC
rnacentral:rRNA from 1 species